rnacentral:rRNA from 1 species
UACGGGGGGGCAAGCGUUGUUCGGAAUUACUGGGCGUAAAGGGCUCGUAGGCGGCCAACUAAGUCGGACGUGAAAUCCCUCAGCUUAACUGGGGAACUGCGUCUGAUACUGGAUGGCUUGGAUUUGGGAGAGGGAUGCGGGAAUUCCAGGUGUAGCGGUGAAAUGCGUAGAUAUCUGGAGGAACACCGGUGGCGAAGGCGGCAUCCUGGACCAAUAUUGACGCUGAGGAGCGAAAGCCUGGGGAGCAAACAGGG